AGGCUUGCCUUUUUUAUAUAUAUGACUUUGUUUACAACAUUUUACUGGGACUUUCAAACCUAGCUGUAGAGUUGGAAAAAGAUUUCCAUUUUGAUGUUUUAUAUAAUCAUGUUUAAUGUUACCAUUGUCUAUUAAAGCACAUGGCCACAUAUGUGUACCUACCUGAACUUUGUAUUUUGGGUCCAGCGUAUUGCUCACAUGUUGCUGUCACAUGUUGCUGAAAGAUGCUAAUAAAAAAAAAUCAAUCCAAAGAAAAAUGGAAAGACAUUCCUAUUUAUAGAAUGAUUGUUUCGUUUAUAUAAAAGCAUAACUUAGGAGUUCUAAUAGAUGAAAAGUCUAAUAAAUUAUAAAGUGAUUGAUUUGAAUAUAUUGUAUUUUUAUAACUUUCCUUGCCAAAGCCCAGACCUAGUUCUUUAGAGAGUAGUUUUCCUCCCUUCUCCUCCACCAUUUGUCGGUCUUCCAUGAGAACAAAGAAAUAAAAGGGUUAACAAGCUUGACAAUUUUUUUAUUCCUAACAUUUUAAAAUGUAUUUCGAAUUCUUUGAUCUGAUAUUCACUAGGAUAAACAUCCUUUUCAUAGACGCUCAAUGACCUACUUUACUGAAAGUCGAAUUGGUCCUUCCUUGUGCUGUGUAUGGAAGAGAAAGGUUGGACUCAAAGAUUGUGGGUCUCAGUUUUUUAAGGGAUAGUGAAAAUUGGACAAGUUCUGGUAAAUAAAUCUCAGUUUUCAGGUACAUUUCUAAGUCAGGGACGGGUCACAGCUCAAAGUUGCCAUUCAUAAUAAAGAAGGUUUAGAAUGCAUUUUGCAAAGAAUGUUUCAUUAAUACACCUACAUCCUAUCUUUGGAAGUCAGUGACCCAAUUGCAUUUAAAACUCUUGAGAAGUUCUGGGUUUAGCUUAACCUAUGGUAAAUCAUUUAAAAAAAAAAAGUCUAUUUUCUUCCCUGAAAUCAAAGCUUACAUGUAUGUUUUUCCAUAAUAUUUCCAGUUAUGUGUAUUUAAGAUGCAAUGCAGUAUUUUAACAUUUGCAAAUCAUUUUAUAUGGAAAUAUAUUGCAGUAUUAAAAUUCAGUGUUCUGUGUCUAUU
rnacentral:lncRNA from 1 species